AAGAAAUUGAAGAAUUCUGCUUCGGGUGGCCGAGGCGUGGGUGGCACGCCAGUAGAAACGCUGCACCCCGCCCCUGAGAUAGCUCGGACACCAGGCGCCGCGCUCCGGGCUUCUCACGAGGUAGUCCGCGGGAGGGGUCGUCGCGAGCGCGCGCGGGGUCUCACGCGGCUCGGAAGCUCAGCGCGCAUGCUCCAUUGGCCAACUCUCCGGGAGGGGCGGGAGACCCAGAGCUCAGUAGCCGGGGGGGAGGAGCGCUCGCGCAGCCGCCCCUGACGGGAGCGGGCUCCGCCGCUACUGCAGCGCUCAGCGCCGGGCCCUGCCGGAGCCGGGACUAGCAUGUGCGGCGCCUCUCGGGAGGCGGCGGCGGCGGCGGCUCCUCUGCAGCAGCAGCGGCGGCGGCGGCAGCAGCAGCGGCGGCCGCCAUGGCCAAGGCCAGCGUGGAGCUCACCCGCGAGCUGCAAGACAGCAUCCGGAGGUGCCUGAGCCAGGGGGCUGUGCUCCAGCAACAUCGUGUGAAACUGGAGACAAAACCCAAGAAGUUCGAAGACAGAGUGCUGGCCCUGACUUCCUGGCGUCUCCACCUUUUUCCCCUUAAAGUUCCAGCUAAGGUGGAAAGCUCAUUCAAUGUCCUGGAGAUCCGUGCCUUCAACACACUCAGUCAGAAUCAGAUCCUGGUGGAGACUGAGCGUGGCACGGUGAGCAUGCGGCUGCCAUCCGCCGAGAGUGUGGACCAGGUGACACGGCAUGUGAGCUCUGCCCUCUCCAAGGUCUGCCCUGGCCCUGGGUGAGUGGCAGACAAGGGGUCUCCCAAAGGAUUAGACUAAAGGUGUUUGAUCCGGCGUGGAAAUGCGGACACCCCAGAGGGACCCCGAGACACAUCUCCCAACUCGGAAACUUCCACAUCUACCACUCACAGUGUGUGUGGUGGCUUCUCUGAGACCUACGCUGCCCUGUGUGACUACAAUGGACUCCACUGCCGAGAGGAGGUGCAAUGGGAUGUGGACACCAUCUACCAUGCUGAGGAUAACCGAGAGUUCAAUCUUUUGGAUUUCAGCCACUUGGAGAGCCGAGAUCUGGCCCUCAUGGUGGCCGCCCUGGCCUACAACCAGUGGUUCACCAAACUCUACUGCAAAGACUUGAGACUGGGCUCAGAAGUGCUAGAACAGGUGCUACAUACCCUCAGCAAGUCGGGGAGCCUCGAAGAGCUGGUGCUGGACAAUGCUGGGCUUAAGACGGACUUUGUCCAGAAGCUGGCCGGGGUGUUUGGGGAGAACGGGAGCUGUGUGCUGCAUGCGCUCAUUCUGUCCCACAACCCCAUCGAGGACAAGGGUUUCCUCAGCCUGAGCCAGCAGCUCCUCUGCUUCCCUACGGGCCUCACCAAACUGUGCCUGGCCAAGACUGCCAUCUCUCCUCGAGGGCUCCAGGCACUGGGCCAGACCUUCGGGGCCAACCCAGCCUUUGCCAGCUCCCUCCGAUACCUGGACCUGAGCAAGAACCCAGGGCUGCUUGCCACAGACGAGGCCAAUGCCCUCUAUAGUUUCCUGGCCCAACCCAACGCCUUGGUACACCUGGACCUUUCAGGGACUGACUGUGCCGUUGACAUGCUUCUGGGCGCCCUCCUUCAUGGCUGCUGCUCUCACCUCACCUACCUCAACCUGGCUCGAAACAGCUGCUCCCACAGGAAGGGCCGGGAGGCCCCGCCAGCCUUCAAGCAAUUCUUCAGCAGCGUCUACACCCUGAGCCAUGUCAACCUGUCAGCCACAAGGCUGCCCCUGGAGGCCCUCAGGGCACUUCUUCAGGGCCUCUCCCUCAACAGUCACCUCAGUGAUCUGCACCUGGACCUUAGCAGCUGUGAGCUCCGCUCAGCAGGAGCCCAGGCCUUGCAGGAGCAGCUGGGGGCUGUCACCUGUAUAGGCAGCCUAGAUCUGUCUGAUAAUGGGUUUGACUCAGACCUCCUGACGCUGGUGCCUGCACUUGGCAAGAACAAGUCCCUCAAGCACCUAUUCCUAGGAAAGAACUUCAAUGUCAAGGCCAAGACUUUGGAAGAGAUCCUGCAUAAGCUGGUGCAGUUGAUCCAAGAAGAGGACUGUUCCCUGCAGUCGCUGUCCGUGGCAGACUCCAGGCUGAAGCUUCGCACCAGCAUCCUUAUCAAUGCCCUGGGCAGCAACACGUGCCUGGCCAAGGUGGAUCUGAGUGGCAACGGCAUGGAGGACAUCGGGGCCAAGAUGCUGUCGAAGGCGCUGCAGAUAAAUUCUUCCCUCAGAACUAUACUAUGGGAUCGGAACAAUACGUCUGCCCUGGGCUUCCUGGACAUUGCAAGGGCCCUGGAGAGCAACCAUACACUGCGCUUCAUGUCCUUCCCUGUGAGCGACAUCUCUCAAGCUUACCGCAGUGCCCCUGAGCGCACCGAGGAUGUGUGGCAGAAGAUCCAGUGGUGCCUGGUGAGGAACAACCACUCCCAGACAUGCCCUCAGGAGCAAGCCUUCAGGCUGCAGCAGGGCCUGGUGACCAGCAGCGCCGAGCAAAUGCUGCAGCGGCUGUGUGGACGAGUGCAGGAGGAGGUGCGGGCCCUGAGACUAUGUCCCCUGGAGCCAGUGCAAGAUGAGCUGCUCUAUGCCCGGGACCUCAUCAAGGACGCCAAGAACUCCCGGGCGCUCUUUCCCAGCCUCUAUGAGCUGGGUCACGUGUUGGCCAACGAUGGGCCUGUGCGGCAGAGACUAGAGUCGGUAGCCAGUGAGGUAUCCAAAGCUGUGGACAAGGAGCUUCAGGUGAUUCUGGAAUCCAUGGUCAGCCUAACACAGGAACUGUGCCCUGUGGCCAUGCGGGUGGCAGAAGGACACAACAAGAUGCUGAGCAACGUGGCAGAACGUGUCACUGUGCCCCGGAACUUCAUCCGCGGAGCGCUGCUGGAGCAGGCGGGACAGGACAUUCAGAACAAGCUGGACGAGGUGAAGCUGUCCGUCGUCACCUACCUGACCAACUCCAUAGUGGAUGAGAUCCUCCAGGAGCUGUAUCACUCCCACAAGAGCCUGGCCCGGCACCUGACCCAGCUGAGGACACUGUCGGAUCCACCCGGAGGGGCAAGCCAAGGGCAGGAUCCAUCUUCCCGAGGCAGAGGCAGGAACCAUGACCACGAGGAAACGGAUGAUGAGCUUGGGACCAACAUCGUGAGCCCCAGUCUUCCCUCCUUGCUUUCACCUGAGUCCUCUCCCUGAACCUACGCGACUGCGGUCACCCCACCACCACCACCACCUCUCGGACUCCACCUCCCUGUGCUAAGCCUCUCCUCCUCCGUGCCUGUCCAGACUCUUCCCUCAUUCCAGAUCCUCAGCCACCUGAGGCAGGGUGGACUCUAAAGAAAAGGCUUUGAGGGUCUGGUCACUUUUUGUCUCCGUUUCUGCAGGACACUAUGGCCAUCAAAAAGCAGAAACGCUGCCGGAAGAUCCGGCCAGUGUCUGCCUUCAUCAGUGGGAGCCCUCAGGACAUGGAAAGCCAACUGGGAAGUUUGGGGAUCCCUCCUGGAUGGUUCUCAGGACUUGGAGCCAGCCAGACCACAGCAAGUGGCUCCUGGGAAGGCCUAUCUGAGCUACCUACCCAUGGCUAUAAACUAAGGCAUCAAACACAAGGGAGGCCUAGGCCUCCCAGGACCACUCCCCCAGGACCUGGCCGGCCCAGUGUGCCAGUGCCUGGGCCUCGUCAGGAGAAUGGGAUGGCCACCCGUCUAGAUGAGGGGCUGGAAGACUUCUUCAGCAGAAGGGUCAUGGACGAAAGCUCCAGCUACCCCCGGACUCUGAGGACCAUGCGACCAGGCCUCUCAGAGCCACCGCUGCCUCCACUCCAGAAGAAGAGGAGGCGAGGCCUGUUUCACUUCCGCCGGCCCCGGAGCUUCAAGGGGGACAGGGGACCAGGUUCCCCCACUGCUGGACUCCUCCUCCCUCCACCCCCACCCCCACCCCCAACUCAGGAGAGCCCUCCCAGCCCAGACCCCCCAAGCCUUGGCAAUAACUCAUCUCCUUGUUGGAGCCCAGAGGAGGAGAGCAGCCUCCUUCCUGGAUUUGGAGGGGCCCGAGGAUCUUCCUUCUGCAGGAAGAUGGGCACAGAGAGGUUGGAGGCAGGAGAGGGAGCCCCAGCCCCUGGGACAGCGCAGCAACCAAGGGUGCACGGUGGCGUUGCCCUUCCUGGCUUGGGAAGAACCAAAGGGUGGAGCUUUGAUGGAAAACGAGAGGGCACAGACCCAGACCAGGAGGACAGUACCCAGGCUUGGCAGAAACGGCGCUCUUCAGAUGAUGCAGGGCCUGGAGCCUGGAAGCCACCACCGCCCCCACAAAGCUCCAAGCCAAGCUUCAGCGCCAUGCGCCGAGCAGAGGCCACGUGGCACAUAGCUGAGGAGAGUGCCGCAAACCACAGCUGCCAAAGCCCUAGCCCAGCUUCCCAGGAUGGAGACGAGGAAAAGCAGGGCGCCUUAUUCCCAGAGAGAAUGGUUCCCACUAGGAAUGCCAAGGAGCCCCCCAUAGGUCCACGUCCCCCUAAGCCAGUGGCUGUGCCCAGGGGCCGCAGGGCCCCCCAGGUGCCAGGAGGCAGAGAAGAGACUGAGAGCAGCAGUGCUGCCCCAGGAGCCAACAAACCCCGGCUGAGACUGGGCUCACAGCAAGACCAAGAGGAGCCAGAAGGACAAGGACCCACUGAUCAGGGCCGCAGGACAGCGCCCCUGAAACCCAAGAGAACACGGCGAGCACAGUCCUGUGACAAACUGGAACCCGAUAGGAGACAACCACCUGACCCUACAGGUGUCUGUGCAGGAACCAGUGAACCAGGAACAGACUGACAGCUGCUGAACACCCUCCCCAGCCUUCCGCGACAUGUGCCUCAUAAGGACUCAGGCCCCAUCCACCCCUGCUCUCCCAUCCCGUGCCAGCCCUCGUCCUACAGGGCAGCAGCACUAAGAAGGCAUAGGGGAGCAGGAGUGGGGACUGGAAGGGAGGGAGUGACCUGAAGCAGGGAGGCUGUCACACCUGCCUGGAGCUGUCUCGACAGAGAGCUUUGGGCAGAGGCUGUCACUUCCCUGGGGGGAGGGUAAACCUCUGCCCCUCUAUGCCCAGGGGCUCUCUCCCCACUUGUAUAGAAUUAAAAAAAAAAUCACUGUCUGCCUCUG